AGACCUCGAGGUUCCGAGAACUGAGGCCCGCAUAGGCCUCUAGUGUGGGGAACCCGGCGAGGGGAAAUGUUACUUGGGCGUUUCAGGGGGACAGGCGGGCUCGCCGAGGCACAGAGGAGACCCGGGCGGAGGCCCGCGUGCGCUGCCUGGUGCAACCAGAACUGCGCUCACCGCUUGCCAACGUCUUUCUUUCCUUCCUUACAGACGCAAACACUGAGCCUCGGGGGAAGCUCUGCAACCAGAGAAGCGCCCCAGUGGCCUUUCGGGGGGCUGCUGCAGCGGGACGCGCGGGCUCCCCAUCUUCCCGUCACCUACCUCCCACAGUGUGGCAGGCGCGACAGCUGCUGCCCACGGCCGCAAGGAUCCCAAGGAGCUGGCAAAGGCUGGCGGCCGGGCGCUCCAGGGUGCAGGGAGGGAGGAGAAUCCCCGGUACAAAGCGCAGGCGACAGAGAGCCAGGCCCGCAGCCGCAGUGGGGCGCCUGAAGACGUCGGAGCGCUGGAGCCGAGCACGGGCUGGAGUUGGGGCUGCUGCCGCUGGGGUUGGAGCUGGAGGCUGGAGGCUGGGACCAGGGCUGGGGCGGGACUGACGCACGGGGCGCACGCCCGGGCUCACGUGGCCGUCCCCGGGUGGCCAUCACCUCCAUGCAGCCGCCGUGUUGUCUUCUGGCUCCCCCGCCUGUUGAACGCUUCCUAGACACCUGGGUCUAACGUUAGAUUUCAUGCUGUGUGUCUGGUGGCGCAUACCCUUAACCCCAGCACUUGGAAGACAGACUGCGGGCGGAUUUCUGAGUUCAAGGCCAGCCUGGUCGUCUACACAGUGAGUUCCAGGGCUGCACUGAGAAAACCUGUCUC
rnacentral:lncRNA from 1 species